CACCAAAAGGUAGCUAACUGUACCAAGAGCUAGCUAUAUGAGAUACUGGUUAUCUCAUUAUAAUAGUACGGUUAUUUGAAUUGAAAAGUGUUUCGUGACAUAACAGUAAAGCAAGUAUUAUUGCAUCUGUGACUGAAAGUUUCCUCCUCAAUCUGUUUGACGAAUGGGGUGAUUUGAAACAGUCAGCGCAUCACCCGUUGGCUAGCUGUUACGCGUUUAGCCCCUGUUCAUAUAGCUAGCUAUAGUAAACCUCAGUGGUUUGGACAGUUACUCGGCCUUGGUUAUAUUAACUAACGUUAGCUAGUUGGUUUAGAUAAAAUAUGUUUUUUGACAAACCACACAUUUUGGGUGUUGUUUUAUAAAAUGGAAGAGCCCUGGGAUUUCGAGUUUUUAUCCCGCAUUGUGGACGGGUUUGUUUCGUUUCUUUCCGAAUUUGUUGACGACUGGCUGGCUAAUGAUAUGAGAGUGUCAAUAUUCAAGAUAUUGUUUAGUUGGCUCGUUGUCAGUCUCAUUGCCAUCCAUUUCGCUUGGAAAUUUUACGGAAACACUGUGAACGAUAUGUAUUACCGACAAGGUACUGGUGGAAAGAAUGGAGGCACACCUGACACUGCACCUCACAGGAGCGGAUGGUAGGUGUCCAAGCAUCCAUGUCUCCCUCCAGGGAGAGUGCGGCAGGAGACAACCUCAAGACACAUCGUGAGUGACAGACAGGACAUAAGUUGGACUACAUACAAUUUUCUCUCUGUCUUAUCAGAAAGGGUUGCUGAGUAGACACAGACUUGCUAAUGUUGUGCCUUUACAAAUGGACUGGAGUUCAUUGAUGAGGUGGGCCUGUGGACGCUUCCUUUGAGCUGAAGUUUCUCCUUGUUGGUUGUCAUGACGAUAUAACGAUAUAAACACCAUGUAAUAUGCUAAAAUAUUAUCUCUUAUGCCAUGUCUUUUUUAAUCUCAUAUCUUCUUAAAUUUAGCUCCUGGGCCAUGUAAAAUUGUACCUCCUUUUAUUGGUGAGACAUUCAAAUAUCCAUCUGGCUCCAUAUCCACUGACUGAUAUAGAUUUACAUGAAAUGUUAUUCUAAACAGAAUCUGGAGAGACUCAACAACUGUAUGCUGUGAGAGUUAUGGGUUGGUGUGACUGCAGUAAUGUUCAUAACAUAAUGUAUGAGUAAGGAGCUGUUCAGAGAGAUGGUUUCUGUUUUUAUUUUUGCUGGAGCAAGGCUACUGUGGAGAGAGUGGUCAGAGAGAGCGGUCUUACAUCAAACAGCAGAUUUCCUCAAAUUCAUAUUUCUUAUUCUUGACAGCAUGAGCCCUCAAUGACUGUCUUUUGAUUGUUAUGAAAAUAUAAAACAGUGAAGACUGGGGUGCGUUCAGUUUGAUUGAUCAUUUGCUACAUUGUUUAUCUGUUUGUACUAAAUGACACGUUUCCCCAAAACGUUAUUGAACAGAUGUUGCGGUAGGUUUGCUCUGUUUCGUGGGUCUGACAGGUUGAUGCUUGAAGAAAGUGAGUGACGUAUUUAAAGGUAAGCGGCCAUGCUGACAACCUUCCACAACCCAACCCCUCCCCAUUUUUAACUGGCCAUUUAGAACAGCACCGUUUCCAUUUGAUUGAAUGUUGGAGUAUAUUUGUUUUGUAUUGAACGCAGCCCUGUCUUCUGAUUGCUGUGAAAAUAUUAAACAGUGAAGGCCAAUAAUGCUUUUUAUUGUCUCAGGUACAGGUUGGUACCUGUAGCAGUCCAAUGGAGUAGGCACAUUGAUUGUACAUUUUAUGUUAUGGUCUUGUGCAGUUGAUUGGUACAUAAAUCAUUUUGUUUAAAAUUCUAAUUUCCUAAUGUUUUUUAUUUCAUUGUCUAAAACGAUGUCUAGCACACAACUUAGUCCAGCAGAUAGGUGACAUAAUUCUUCCAUUUUAUGAUACAAGUAUCAAACUUGGUACACUAAUACUAGAUACUUUAAGGAACAUUUUAAUGUUUUUUGCAGUCCGGGGAGCUUGUCAGUCAACCGUGGUGGCUAUUUUUAAUAAAAUGGCUACCUGUUAGAAGAAAAUAGAGUAAAAUCAUUCCAAACAAUAUCAAAAUAACUAAUUUAUCUACCCACUAUAUUACCCCAGAUAUAGACAAAUCUGAUCAUAAAGUACUCUUAAGACCUUAAUAGGGGUCAUAUUGAGGUCACUUUGACCAUAGUCCAGCAGCUAUGUAAAAAAAUGAUAGAGCCACCAAAUUGCACACAUUGCUACGGCAUGUCUAAAUAACUAUUUUUGUAGUGCCAUCGCAGAUUUGGUCAAUUACACCACCCUGGCGUCAUUUCCAAUAUGGCCACUGAAAAAUAGGCUAAGAAAUCCAAGAUAGGGAAUUAGUUGGAUAGAUGUCACCAAGGGUAUAAUUCAAUUCAUUUAGACAAGAAGUUUCUGAUUUUUGCAAUGUUAUGAAGAUGAAAAAAGGCUGCUCUUGAAAUAUUUUUGACACGUUCAUCGAAGGCGAUAUCAGGGUCCAGAGUAACGCCAAGGUCCUUCAGUUUUAUUUGAGAUGACUGUAUAACCAUCUAGAUUUACUCUGCUCCGGUCAGAGAGCAAGGAGACAGAGCCAAAGUUCACAUACUUAUUAUGGACUUGUGGUUGGACAUGGUAAAGUUGGAUUUGUGUGUGGUUCUGAAACAAAGGAGAGACAAGUAUAAUGUAAAAAGGUAAAAAGGAUGAUUAUAUUAAACAAGGAAAAGUAUUACGUAACUAAAAUAUAGAAGGAAAUAAGAAAUGUACUUUUAACACAACUGGAAAGAAACUUGAGUAACGGCUUGAAGGGCUCAUUCACACCUUCAGUUUGUAUUUAAAUCCUAUCAGGGCAGUCCUGAUAAUUAGUGACAAGUGUGUGGCAUUGAGAAAGAGUCAAUAGGUGAAAAUCAACUUGGUUGAUUAAAGUCAUCUGUAGUAUUAGAGACGAACAUCCAAAGUGAGAGGGAUAACUGGACCCAAAAUCUGUCUUCUCCAGCAGGUGUUUUUCAUUUUUUCUCUCUGGCCAAGCAAGGCAUUUUUGUAUGGAGAUCAAUGAGUGUCGAAUUUGGUCAACAAAAUUCACCAGAGUAUAAUAGGUUAAAUCUGCAAUGGCACUAUAGCUAGACAUCUUUGUUUAGACUUUUACUAAGUGUAAAAACUGAAAGGUCUCAUAAUGGGUUACCUGUCUCUCUCUGCUGGACAUAAUGCAUUCCUAUGUAGUUUUACCUAAAGUGAUGUGUACAGGGUGGGUCUUUUUUAAUUGACAAAACAUAUCAUUGCAAUCAGUAGACUUCAGGGAAUUCUCAAAUGACUUUCUAGAGUGUUUUCAUGUAAAACUAUUGGAACUAGUCAUGGAAAAAUUAAUUUGACAUGUUUUCACCACAAGUUUAAAGGAUAAGUAUAUAUGGCGUAUGUGAGCCAUUUUGUGUUUUCCAAACCCUCUCAAACAUUUGAAACCAUCAUUGGGCUGUAAGUACCAUUUUCAUUUUAUGGCGACAUGUCCAAGUGAAUCCUGUCCAAUAUGGCCCCAUGCAGCUGGUUAGUGGUCAUAUGGGAAAUGGCAGCCAGUGGGUUAAUGUACCAAAUCUAAUGGCACUAUAGCCAAGAAUAACAUAGACAUGCCCCAGCUGUGAAAUUUCUUGGCUCUAUCAACAAGUUCAAAAUGUCAUUGGACUAUGGUCAAAAUGACCUCAAUAUGACCCCAUUGAAGGUCUUAAGAGUAUGUUAUUGUCUAUGUUAUUUGUGGGGUUUAUUUAGUGGGUAGAUAACAUUAAAGUCAUUUACAUAUUAUUUGACUUUACCCUAUUUUCAUCUGAUAGGAAAUCAAAAUGGCAGCCAUUUUAUUAGACUGCAUCCAAUCUUCAAAACUGUUCCUUAAGGUAUCUAGUAUUAGUGUACUAUGUCUGAUACUUGUAUCAUAAAUUGGAACAUUCUUGGGUAUAUUUGGUUAUCCGCUGGACUAACUGCUCUGUACAGAAACAAUUUCUUCACAAAUAACACAAAAGUACACUAUUUACUGUAUUUAUUCUUAUAGACAUAACUGACUGCUGCUUUUUAAAUUAAAUAUGGAUCUCCAAAAGGGCUUGCUGGAAAGAAUAUCAUGGGCAUGGUCAGUUUUGAAAAGCUGCUCUCUGAAUAUACUCAGUCUGCUCUGUAUGGAUUCAUACUGAAAUGUGUAAUUGACAGCUUUCAUGCCCUUGUCUUCAUCAACGACCAGACACAACUAUGGGGAUUGGUGGGAUGAGCAGCAUGUGCACAUCCAUCACAUUGGUACCUGUUAACCCUGGUAAGAGCAGCCGCUGCCCACCAGACAGGCGUGAAAAGAAGGUGAAGGAAUCAUUGUUGACGAGGAAGCCAUCAGGGUCGAGCCCCUGUGCUCGUGCUUCUUUGCCAAGCCCCGCGUCUGUGACUGCCCCUGCUGCCUCAGUUGGCCCGUCCUGACCAUCGGUCCCACCACUCAGGAACAGGGGACCCUUCGGAGGGAGCUCCAUGCCUGCCAGCUCAAGCCCUACUCUCAGGGCCAGCUCCUGGUUCCGCCCACCACACCCCUUGCCUGUCAACUGCACAGUGGGCUCUCCCCCAGCCAGCAGACAGGUGGCUCCCCAGCCCUCCCCACGCCCCUCACCAAGCACCUGCAUAGCACGGCACAAGUCCCAGCUUUCCACGCCUGUCUCGGGCCCCAGCUUCAGAAUCUCAGCAGGCAACUCAGGAGGAGGCUCGUCACGGGAGCAGGCAAAGCGAGCCAGUAGACCAUAAAGGCGAGAGACAGACUGUACGUUCCCGCACACCCCUGGCGACAGCACAACUGGACGGAAUCCGAGCUCCCGCGCACGUCUCCCUGCGCAUUCCAGAGCAAUGCUAUUGGAGCCAAUCACAGCAUUGAGAACAUGUGCCGCCCUGUCUGACUGCUCUCCAGACUCCUCCCAUCGGGGAGCUGAGCGUCCAAGCACCUCUUUCACCGAGACAGGGAGAGAGGAGGACAGCCCGUAACGUUCAAGGAUCGACCAAAUCUCCUCAGGCCACACCUCAGUCCACACUGUGGGGCCACUGGCUAUCAAGUCCAGGGGAUCUCCAAUUACGUCAGACAGAACCAGGGCCACCACCUGUUAUAAAAUGUUAACAGGACAUUUUUAUUUGACCAAAUACAACCAGAAUGUAAAGCUAAUGUGCAAGAAGUUCAGGUCUUUGGGUAAAAGUUCUAUAAUGAGCUAGUACAGUUGUGCUCUUACCUGAGCAGGGUGAGCGCAGUGUGCAAGUCCUCCUCCUUUCAAAAUUGACAGGGCACGGCGUACAGAGUUAAGCUCCUGAAUGGUGGCACCAGCACCAGCCAGUCUGCGUGUUACAUCCUGUUUCUCUUGAAGAGAGAUUGGUGGGACUGGUGCAGGCAAGAGUGCAGAGCCUCCUCCUACACACACAAGACCCAAGCGGACCCUCUACAGUAACAAGUAUGGAGUGGAUCUGAUCAGGUACACACAUGCAGCCAACACCGUGGUCUACAGCUCCAACAAAAUUGAUGACACUAUCCGGUACCUCUCCCUCUAUGACAACAAGUACAUCCGGUAUUUCCCCGGACACAACAAAAGGCAUUCUGGCUCCCCACUAUUGAUGAUUGAUUGAGAGAGCGAGAUGCUAUGGAAGCCACAGGCAACGUGAGAUCCCAUUUAAAACCAGCAGGCGUCAGCACAUCCAGCUCUUUGUGUGUGUGUGUUGCCAAUUCAAGUUGAUUGUAAAUAUGUAGAACUUCAGGAAUAUAAAUUGUCAGAUUUUUGUGUUCUUUUUAUACUUGUAACAUUAAAUGUAAUUUUUUUAACAA